rnacentral:rRNA from 1 species
AACGAACGCUGGCGGCAUGCCUAACACAUGCAAGUCGAACGAUGCUUUCGUGCUUAGUGGCGCACGGGUGCGUAACGCGUGGGAAUCUGCCCUUGGGUUCGGAAUCACAGAGAGAAAUUUCUGCUAAUACCGGAGGAUGUCUUCGGACCAAAGAUUUAUCGCUCAGGGAUGAGCCCGCGUAGGAUUAGCUAGUUGGUGGGGUAAUGGCCUACCAAGGCGACGAUCCUUAGCUGGUCGGUGAGCAUGCUCAGCCAGACUGGGAAUGAGACACGGCCCAGACUCCGACGGGAAGCAGCAGUGGGGAAUAUUGGAGGAGGGGCGCAAGCCUGAUCCAGCAAUGCGGCGUGAGUGAUGAAGGCCUUAGGGUUGUAAAGCUCUUUUACCCGGGAUGAUAAUGACAGUACCGGGAGAAUAAGCUCCGGCUAACUACGUG